rnacentral:rRNA from 1 species
AGAGAGAGACAUGCGCGCAUAUCAAUAAGCGGAGGAAAAGAAACUAACAAGGAUUCCCCUAGUAACGGCGAGUGAAGCGGGAAGAGCUCAAAUUUGAAAUCUUAAAGGGUUUCCCUUUACGAAUUGUAGUUUAAAGAAGUGUUUUCUGUUGAGGUUUUGGUAAAAGUUCUUUGGAAUAGGACAUCAUAGAGGGUGAGAAUCCCGUAUUUGACCUUUACUUUCAACUUUGUGAUACACUUUCAAAGAGUCGGAUUGUUUGGGAAUGCAGUCCAAAAUGGUGGUAAAUUUCAUCUAAAGCUAAAUAUUGGCGAGAGACCGAUAGCGAACAAGUACCGUGAGGGAAAGAUGAAAAGAACUUUGAAAAGAGAGUUAAACAGUACGUGAAAUUGUCAAAAGGGAAGCGUUUGACACCAGUGUUGUUUUUCUGAAAAUCAAUUAAAGAACUGUUUAUGCUAAGCUGUUUAGACUUUAUCAGCUAAUCUGUUUAGUUUUGAGCUUUUCUUUAAUGCACUUUUCAGUUAACAAGUCAACAUCAAUUUCUUUUGCUGUAAAAAAGCUUGAGGAAGGUGGCUUGAGAUUCGUCUUAAGUGUUUAUAGCCUCUUGCCUAUGCAGUCGGAGAGAUUGAGGUCUGCAGCGUAGAUCCUUCGGGGCUAAAUGCAUUUGUGCUAAGUUAUAGCAUUUUAUAGACAACUUGUUGACUAUGAUUUGUCUUGUAGCUUACUCGCUUAUGUUAUUUUACCUACGCUUAGGAUGUUGAGCGCAUGUCUCUCUCU